rnacentral:lncRNA from 1 species
GCUAAUGUGGACAGACACCCUGGGAAAUCUGCACACAGCACGUAUGCUAUCGAGUCCUCCAGAAGCGUGGUUCAUGGACAGGACAUACCGUCCUCGCCUGCUUCCUGCUCCGGCACAGGAGAAGGGGCAGGUGUUGUGUCUAGUUGCACGAAUAGCUGCCCUGCUGCCCUCUGAUUGUGGAUGGAAAGUAGAGUGCAGAGGUGUUGGCUUGGAGUCCAGGAGAUGAGAAGUGAGAGUGACUUGUCCCCAAGCAAGGACUUCAAGGUCUUUGGAAACAGCACAGCAAAGACCAGCACCACUCCAAACGGAGUCCAGUAUUUGGGCUGGCUCCCCAGGUGAGAGCCCUUAGGAGCUGGAGGACUUCUUGCCCCAGGAAGACGAGAUGGAAGGUGGCACACUGCUGGAAAAACCCUGUGUCACCGGCCAGGACGGAGACCCCUUGCUCACCAGUCAGCCAUGGCCUCCAGUGCCACCUGUUCUCUGCUGAAGACGGAUCCUUUCCCAGAGAGGACAGCUGGGGACCUUCAUGUCCACUGCAUGCCAAGCUCUGCUGCUGGUUUGAUGACCCCAGAACCUGCCCUUGGGCUUCUCUGACAUGUCUGAGGACCUCUAAGAUCCACCAAUCCAGGAAUGACUCACUCAUGGCACUGGGUUUGGGGACAUGUCCCUGUGAAUACACGGAGCAGCUGAGCCCUGAUGUCCUUCCUCUCACUGCCCUGGGGAAGGCUGGCUUCUCAUCACUGGAUGGACAGAGCCAUGGUGCAGCCCUGAGGGGACACCACCCACCGGGUCCUUCUCAGCAUUUUCUGCUCCAACCCAGACCCACUUCCUGCCCUGGGUAUCACUUUCACCUCUGGACACUGACUGACUGACGCCCAGGAAGGCCAGGCUCCUGGCUAGGGCCCUGAGGUGAUAAACAGGGGCAAGAAUAGAUUUAAAAUAAAAUGGACCUGCAGCCAGUGGCCA